rnacentral:rRNA from 1 species
CUGGCUCGGGACGAACGCUGGCGGCGUGCCUAAUACAUGCAAGUCGAACGGUCUUUCUAUGGAAGCUUGCUUCCACUGAGAAGAUAGUGGCGAACGGGUGAGUAACACGUGGGUAACCUGCCCAUAAGAGGGGGAUAACAUCCGGAAACGGGUGCUAAUACCGCAUAGUUUCUUGAUCGCAUGAUCGGGAAAGGAAAGACGGCCUUUGUGCUGUCGCUUAUGGAUGGACCCGCGGCGUAUUAGUUAGUUGGUGAGGUAAUGGCUCACCAAGACGAUGAUACGUAGCCGACCUGAGAGGUGAUCGGCCACAUUGGGACUGAGACACGGCCCAAACUCCUACGGGAGGCAGCAGUAGGGAAUCUUCCGCAAUGGACGAAAGUCUGACGGAGCAACGCCGCGUGAGUGAAGAAAGGUUUUCGGAUCGUAAAACUCUGUUGUCAGAGAAGAACAAGUUGGAGAGUAACUGCUCCAGCCUUGACGGUAUCUGACCAGAAAGCCACGGCUAACUACGUGCCAGCCGCAGC